rnacentral:sRNA from 1 species
UAGACAAGCCUGGGGAGGACUCCUGCUUCGGCUUCUCUGGGAAUCUGGGAGGCACCCAGGAGUGAGGGAGCAGGUCUUCCCACCCCUGUAACCUGUGGCUCCCAGUGUGUCCCCCUCUGGGCUGACCCAUGUCUUGGGCUCCAGGUGGAUCAGCUCAAGCUCAAGGUGAGUCGGCUGGAGGAAGAGUGUGCACUGCUUCGAAGGGCCAGGGGGCCGCCCCCUGGGACAGAGGAGAAGGAGAAGGAGAAGGAGCCAGACAAUGUGGACCUCGUCUCUGAGCUGCGUGCUGAGAACCAGCGGCUGACGGCGUCACUGCGGGAGUUGCAGGAGGGCCUGCAGCAGGAGGCGAGCCGGCCAGGGGCCCCGGGCUCCGAGCGCAUCCUGCUGGACAUCCUAGAGCAUGACUGGCGGGAGGCGCAGGACAGCAGGCAGGAGCUGUGCCAGAAGCUGCAUGCCGUGCAGGGGGAGCUGCAGUGGGCCGAGGAGCUGCGCGACCAGUACCUGCAGGAGAUGGAAGACCUGCGGCUCAAGCACCGCACCCUGCAGAAGGACUGUGACCUGUACAAGCACC